AGAGUUUGAUUCUGGCUCAGAACGAACGCUGGCGGCGUGGAUAAGACAUGCAAGUCGAACGCUAGAUUGUGUGUAGCAAUACUCGCAGUCUGGAGUGGCGUAAGGGUGCGUAACACGUGGGUAAUUUGCCUGGAAGCCCGGGAUAACUCCGAGAAAUCGGAGCUAAUACCGGAUGUGAUCAGGGGCUGGCAUCAGCUUCUGCUCAAAAGUCGGGGACCCAAAGGCCUGACACUACCAGAUAAGCCCGCGGCCUAUCAGCUAGUUGGCGGGGCAACGGCCCACCAAGGCUAAGACGGGUAGCUGGUCUGAGAGGACGACCAGCCACACUGGAACUGAGACACGGUCCAGACACCUACGGGUGGCAGCAGUCGAGAAUUUUUCACAAUGGGGGAAACCCUGAUGGAGCGACGCCGCGUGGGGGAUGAAUGGCUUCGGCCCGUAAACCCCUGUCAUUUGCGAACAAACCUGGUGGCUGAACAAGCUGCCAGCUGAUAGUAGCAGAAGAGGAAGGGACGGCUAACUCUGUGCCAGCAGCCGCGGUAAUACAGAGGUCCCAAGCGUUGUUCGGAUUCACUGGGCGUAAAGGGUGCGUAGGCGGUAGGGUAAGUUUGAGGUGAAAUCUCCGGGCUCAACCCGGAAAAUGCCUUGAAGACUAUCCUGCUAGAGGAUCGGAGGGGAGACUGGAAUUCUCGGUGUAGCAGUGAAAUGCGUAGAUAUCGAGAGGAACACCAGUGGCGAAGGCGAGUCUCUGGACGAUUCCUGACGCUGAGGCACGAAAGCCAGGGGAGCAAACGAGAUUAGAUACCCCGGUAGUCCUGGCCCUAAACGGUGCGCACUUGCUGUGGGCGGAUUCGACCCCGUCCGUGGCGAAGGAAACCCGAUAAGUGCGCCGCCUGGGGAGUACGGUCGCAAGAUUAAAACUCAAAGAAAUUGACGGGGGCCUGCACAAGCGGUGGAGUAUGUGGCUUAAUUCGAUACUACGCGAAGAACCUUACCUGGCCUUGACAUGCACGUGGUAGAAGCGUGAAAGCGCAACGACCCCGCAAGGGGAGCGUGCACAGGUGCUGCAUGGCUGUCGUCAGCUCGUGUCGUGAGAUGUUGGGUUAAGUCCCGCAACGAGCGCAACCCCUGCGUCCUGUUGCCACCCGGUCGAGAGACCGGAGCACUCUGGACGGACUGCCUCGCUUCAACGAGGAGGAAGGUGGGGAUGACGUCAAGUCAGUAUGGCCCUUACGGCAGGGCUGCACACGUACUACAAUGCCCGGCACAGAGGGGCGCAAUCCAGCAAUGGGGAGCAAAUCCUUAAAACCGGGCCCAGUUCAGAUUGUCGGCUGCAACUCGCCGGCAUGAAGCUGGAAUCGCUAGUAAUGGCGCAUCAGCUACGGCGCCGUGAAUACGUUCCCAGGCCUUGUACACACCGCCCGUCACAUCAUGAAAGCCGUCUGUACCCAAAGCCGCCGCGCUAACCGUAAGGAGGCAGGUGCCUAAGGUAUGGAUGGUGAUUGGGAUGAAGUCGAAACAAGGUAGCCGUAGGGGAACCUGCGGCUG
rnacentral:rRNA from 1 species